AUUGAACGCUGGCGGCAUGCCUUACACAUGCAAGUCGAACGGUAGAGGAGCAAUCCUCGAGAGUGGCGAACGGGUGAGUAAUGCAUCGGAACGUGCCCAGUAAUGGGGGAUAGCCCGGCGAAAGCCGGAUUAAUACCGCAUACGACCUAAGGGUGAAAGAGGGGGAUCGCAAGACCUCUCGUUAUUGGAGCGGCCGAUGUCAGAUUAGGUAGUUGGUGGGGUAAAGGCCUACCAAGCCAACGAUCUGUAGCUGGUCUGAGAGGACGACCAGCCACACUGGGACUGAGACACGGCCCAGACUCCUACGGGAGGCAGCAGUGGGGAAUUUUGGACAAUGGGCGCAAGCCUGAUCCAGCCAUGCCGCGUGCGGGAAGAAGGCCUUCGGGUUGUAAACCGCUUUUGUCAGGGAAGAAAUCUUCUGGGUUAAUACCUCGGGAGGAUGACGGUACCUGAAGAAUAAGCACCGGCUAACUACGUGCCAGCAGCCGCAGUAAGAC
rnacentral:rRNA from 1 species